rnacentral:rRNA from 1 species
GCUUAACACAUGCAAGUCGAGCGGUAAGGCCCUUCGGGGUACACGAGCGGCGAACGGGUGAGUAACACGUGGGUGAUCUGCCCUGUACUUCGGGAUAAGCCUGGGAAACUGGGUCUAAUACCGGAUAUGACCAUGGGAUGCAUGUCUUGUGGUGGAAAGAUUUAUCGGUGCAGGAUGGGCCCGCGGCCUAUCAGCUUGUUGGUGGGGUAAUGGCCUACCAAGGCGACGACGGGUAGCCGACCUGAGAGGGUGACCGGCCACACUGGGACUGAGACACGGCCCAGACUCCUACGGGAGGCAGCAGUGGGGAAUAUUGCACAAUGGGCGGAAGCCUGAUGCAGCGACGCCGCGUGAGGGAUGACGGCCUUCGGGUUGUAAACCUCUUUCGACAGGGACGAAGCGUGAGUGACGGUACCUGUAGAAGAAGCACCGGCCAACUACGUGCCAGCAGCCGCGGUAAUACGUAGGGUGCGAGCGUUGUCCGGAAUUACUGGGCGUAAAGAGCUUGUAGGCGGUUCGUCGCGUCGAUCGUGAAAACCUACCGCUCAACGGUGGGCUUGCGGUCGAUACGGGCGGACUAGAGUACUUCAGGGGAGACUGGAAUUC